CACGUAGGGGCCAAGCGUUGUCCGGAUUUAUUGGGCGUAAAGAGCUCGUAGGCGGUUGGGUAAGUCGGGUGUGAAAACUCCAGGCUCAACUUGGAGACGCCACCCGAUACUGCUCUGACUUGAGUUCGGUAGGGGAGUGGGGAAUUCCUGGUGUAGCGGUGAAAUGCGCAGAUAUCAGGAGGAACACCGGUGGCGAAGGCGGACUCUGGCGGCAAUACUGCGUGAGGAGCGAAAGCGUGGGGAGCGAACAGGAUUAGAACUACCGUAGUCAGUCCAAGACCA
rnacentral:rRNA from 1 species